rnacentral:lncRNA from 13 species
AAUUCCUUUUCAACCUCCUAUUCAUUAUGCCAAGCACCAUACCAGUGUAUAUGAGGAUCUUUAAGGACAAUUCCUUUUCAACCUCCUAUUCAUUAUGCCAAGCACCAUACCAGUGUAUAUGAGGAUCUUUAAGGACAAUUCCUUUUCAACCUCCUAUUCAUUAUGCCAAGCACCAUACCAGUGUAUAUGAGGAUCUUUAAGGACAAUUCCUUUUCAACCUCCUAUUCAUUAUGCCAAGCACCAUACCAGUGUAUAUGAGGAUCUUUAAGGACAAUUCCUUUUCAACCUCCUAUUCAUUAUGCCAAUCACCAUACCAGUGUAUAUGAGGAUCUUUAAGGACAAUUCCUUUUCAACCUCCUAUUCAUUAUGCCAAGCACCAUACCAGUGUAUAUGAGGAUCUUUAAGGACAAUUCCUUUUCAACCUCCUAUUCAUUAUGCCAAGCACCACCAGUGAAAACGGGCAUUUCUACGUUCUAUAGAUUAAAAAGUUAUCUAUGACAUUAUCAAAAAAAUAUAUUUCCUGGUAAAGUGAAGGUUAAAUAACUGUUCUGUCAACUGUCCUAUCCUCCUGAUCAAAUGAACCAAUGAAAACAGAGGAGACAUAAGGGGGACCAACAGGCGUUGGAGAGGAGGGGCAGACAGAUCUCCCCGGAGAUGGUUGCUGCGGCGGCGAUGGGACGGCUGGGAAAGGAGAACGUCGUCCUGCAGUCGGUGAACAGUCCGGUGACAGUGAAUAAUAGUACUCCAGUCAGGGUCAAGGCCUCUGACAGCAUGGCCCUCAAUAGAGAGAGGGGACUCAAACUAUCAAAGGACUCUCCAUCCAUCUCCAGAAUGUGUUUCUCUCCCUCCCUAGAAACGUCCAUGUAGAGGAUUGGUACUAGCAACACUGGACUUGACUUUUGUUUGGUUCUUUUUUUCUUCUUUUAUCAAGUAAACUAUAUUGUAACUUUCUAAAUCUGUGACGAAUACAACAUUAGUCCCCAGCCAGACAUGGG